GACGAACGCUGGCGUCGUGCCUAACACAUGCAAGUCGAGCGAUGAAUCCCUUCGGGGUGGAUUAGCGGCGGACGGGUGAGUAACACGUGGGUAACCUGCCUCGUAGAGGGGGAUAGCCUCCGGAAAGGGAGAUUAAUACCGCAUAACAUAUUUUAAUCGCAUGAUUGGGAUAUCAAAGUACUCUUAUUCUUCGCAUAAGAAUCCACUACGAGAUGGACCCGCGGCGCAUUAGCUAGUUGGUGAGGUAACGGCUCACCAAGGAGACGAUGCGUAGCCGACCUGAGAGGGUGAUCGGCCACAUUGGAACUGAGACACGGUCCAGACUCCUACGGGAGGCAGCAGUGGGGAAUAUUGCGCAAUGGAGGAAACUCUGACGCAGCAACGCCGCGUGAAUGAUGAAGGCCUUAGGGUUGUAAAGUUCUGUCUUCUGGGACGAUAAUGACGGUACCAGAGGAGGAAGCCACGGCUAACUACGUGCCAGCCGCCGCGGUAAUAC
rnacentral:rRNA from 1 species